GUGCCAACAUGGCGGCGCCCAGAUCGUAAUUCGGAAAACGUGCACCCUGACUAAUUCGGUUUUCUGUGGCUACAAGAGCAGAGCCCGGUUUUUCGAGUGGCAGUCCCCAGGGCUGCCGAAUCCAGCAGCGAUGGAAAACGGCACCGGGCCCUACGGAGAAGAACGCCCACGUGAAGUCCAGGAGACGACAGUCACCGAGGGGGCUGCCAAAAUCGCCUUUCCCAGCGCCAACGAGAUGUGCUGUGAUCACCGAGUUUGCUCGCAUUCAGCUUGGGGCCAAAGGAAUCCAGAUCAAGGUGCCAGGAGAGAAGGACACUCAAAAAGUGGUCGUGGACUUGUCAGAGCAAGAGGAGGAAAAGGUUGAACUGAAAGAGAGUGAAAACCUGGCUUCAGGAGACCAACCUCGCACAGCGGCCGUGGGGGAGAUCUGUGAGGAAGGCCUGCAUGUGCUGGAAGGCCUGGCAGCUUCGGGCCUACGUUCCAUUCGAUUUGCCCUAGAGGUGCCUGGGCUCAGAUCUGUGG
rnacentral:sRNA from 1 species